rnacentral:rRNA from 1 species
GAUGAACGCUGGCGGCGUGCCUAAUACAUGCAAGUCGAACGAACAGACGAGGAGCUUGCUCCUCUGACGUUAGCGGCGGACGGGUUAGUAACACGUGUAUAACCUACCUAUAAGACUGGGAUAAAUUCGGGAAACCGGAGCUAAUACCGGAUAAUAUAUUGAACAGCAUGGUUCAAUAGUUAAAGACGGUUUUGCUGUCACUUAUAGAUGGAUCCGCGCCGCAUUAGCUAGUUGGUAAGGUAACGGCUUACCAAGGCAACGAUGCGUAGCCGACCUGAGAGGGUGAUCGGCCACACUGGAACUGAGACACGGCCCAGACUCCGAUGGGAGGCAGCAGUAGGGAAUCUUCCGCAAUGGGCGAAAGCUUGACGGAGCAACGCCGCGUGAGUGAUGAAGGUCUUCGGAUCGUAAAACUCUGUUAUUAGGGAAGAACAAAUGUGUAAGUAAAUAUGCACGUCUUGACGGUACCUAAUCAGAAAGCCACGGCUAACUACGUG